rnacentral:rRNA from 1 species
UGGGGAAUAUUGCACAAUGGGGGAAACCCUGAUGCAGCGACGCCGCGUGAGCGAAGAAGGCUUCCGAAUCGUAAAGCUCUGUCCUAUGAGAAGAUAAUGACGGUAUCAUAGGAGGAAGCCCCGGCUAAAUACGUGCCAGCAGCCGCGGUAAUACGUAUGGGGCGAGCGUUGUCCGGAAUUAUUGGGCGUAAAGGGUACGUAGGCGGUCUAUUAAGUCAGGUGUGAAAGCGUGAGGCUUAACCUCAUUAAGCACUUGAAACUGAUAGACUUGAGUGAAGGAGAGGAAAGUGGAAUUCCUAGUGUAGCGGUGAAAUGCGUAGAUAUUAGGAGGAAUACCGGUGGCGAAGGCGACUUUCUGGACUUUUACUGACACUCAGGUACGAAAGCGUGGGGGGCAAACAGG